rnacentral:rRNA from 1 species
GACGAACGCUGGCGGCGUGCUUAACACAUGCAAGUCGAACGGAAAGGCCUUUUCGGAGGUACUCGAGUGGCGAACGGGUGAGUAACACGUGGGUGAUCUGCCCUGCACUCUGGGAUAAGCCUGGGAAACUGGGUCUAAUACCGGAUAGGACCGCACUUUAGUGUGUGUGGUGGAAAGUUUUUUCGGUGUAGGAUGAGCCCGCGGCCUAUCAGCUCGUUGGUGGGGUAAUGGCCUACCAAGGCGGCGACGGGUAGCCGGACUGAGAGGUUGGUCGGCCACAUUGGGACUGAGGUACGGCCCAGACUCCUACGGGAGGCAGCAGUGGGGAAUAUUGCACAAUGGGCGCAAGCCUGAUGCAGCGACGCCGCGUGGGGGAUGACGGCCUUCGGGUUGUAAACUCCUUUCGCCAGGGACGAAGCGUUUUGUGACGGUACCUGGAGAAGAAGCACCGGCUAACUACGUG